CUAUAUUGACCCUGCCGCGGCAAAAUCCGUGGCCGGGAUUGACAGCCCGAAAG
rnacentral:ncRNA from 1 species